UUGAUACAUAUAGAAUGCUAUGAGAUUGCAACAUGGCAGUUCUCUUAUCAAACUGCAAAUGGGAUAAAAAUCGGGGAAGGAAACAGAUGCUGCAGUGAUUUCCUUGCACAGAUGCAGCCCUUCUUCCCUCUGCACCCCAAUCACAUCUGGUGUGUUUGAAUAACAAGGGCAAGCUCGGGGCACCAUGGUGCUUGUGGCAGGAUUGCUUUUGGCCUGACUGCUUCUCAAGAUGCUGUCUCCUACCCCACUGCUGCUCAGUAGAAAAUGGCUCUAUGUUUUGGCACUGACUGGUUUGAUCUCUAUUGCCCUGGCUUGACAGCAGCUGGCUAUAGAAACUGCUUUUCCCUCUCUAUGUAAAGUACAGGUGUUUUAAUUUGAUAUGUAGAAGUGCCACAGUUUUGAAGCUUAUACUUCCUUCUCCAAGCCCAAAAUAAACUGAGUUAGUUAAUUGCCAGGACAAAGUUAGAUUAUUGCCUGUUAUAAUGCAUCCUAGGAGAUGAGCCAUGAUGUGUACUCCAUUUGAAAAUGGGGUGGGUUUGUUUUAUUAGCUUAAACUUUGCCAUAUAAUAUGGAAACGAUGAAUUGUGGGCGCCUUGUUCUAAGAACUAUGUUUUUAUGGAACAGGUGUGCAGAGAACCAGAUUGUUGCAUUUAGGUUGUGCAUAAAUACAAAUAGAUAAAACCCAAGUGCUCCAUUUAUUAUGUGUAGUUUUAAAUAAAUUAUAUCUUUGUAUUACUUAGGUGUAUCUUGCACCAAGGUAGGUUUUAAAAUAGAAAAUCAUGUGUGUAUGCAUAUUCUUCAACAUGAUUUCUAGCUUCCAAUUAUUACCUAAGACAUUUAAUACUUCUGUUCCCUUCAGCUCUGUACCAUUGUCUCAUGGUAAGUAAAAGAUUAAUUCUCUUACUUCAUCCCAAAAGGCAAAGAUAAUUUUUCUCAUCCCUUAGUUAUACACUUGCAUAUAUAAUAGAAAAAAGUAAUUUACUUUUCUGCCUAUUCUAGAUAAUGUUACAUAGAACUUAAGACACACUCACAAAUCUGGAAUCUCUGUCAAAAUACUUUACAAGUGAUUUCCUAUCUUGUGCAAAACCUUCCCACAGCCACACAAGGAAUUCACUCGUGAAAUCUCCAACAGCCGUAUGGUAGGUCAUUUCAAGCUGACAAUAAUGCAGUAAACUCUCACUUCACAGAACACAGGUUUACUUCCACAAGGUCAGGAUUUUCUGAAAGAAGGGAAGAGUGUUCUAGCUUGCUUUUAGAGGGCAUAUUGUUAUAUCACUUAGCUCUCAGAGCUGUGUGACUCUGUGAAGUCCCUCUCUAAAAUCGGAAGAUGAACAUAUUUUUAUUAUAUAGAAACUGAUUAUUCACUUUCAACACAGCUUUGUCUUUCUGCCACUUGGCAUAUACACUAUGCAAAUCCUUAGGAUUCUUGAAAUGGGAGCAAUAGUGCUGACCCUUUCCACCUGUCCCACCAGCUAGCAGUGCUGUUCAUAUUUACUACCACGUAUGGAUGUUAUAGCAGAAUCAUUUUUACAUCUACAGAGCUGCCUGGUGCUGUAUCUCAGUCUGAGGCUUAUAUCCCAGCUUUCUUCCUAGCAAUGCUUUUGCACCUUCAGUACAAAGCUAAGACUUGAAAAUAGAGAUUUAUUUUACCUGUUGACUAUCUGUACUGUAUACACACUGAAGCAAUUCAGGCAAAAUACAAAAUUACUAAAGCUUCUGUCAAAAUUCAAUGGGGAAAUGAAUAUUUGAGAUUUUACACAUCCAAGCUUCUCCUGCUUCCCAGUUUUUAGUGCUUAGUUUACUUAGAAGGGUCAGAAAAUUCAAAACACAAAAUCCAUGGGGCUAUUGCAUCUGCCCAACAGUGGAAAUUUCAAAACAACAUCAACUGGUCUCAAAACAACCUCUCAUCCUGAGAGGAAAUAGCUGAGAACUUUUUUAUGAGUUUAAAUGUACUCUUGCACUGUAAUUUGGAGGAUAGCUGAAGUGACACAGGAGAACAGGAGGCACAUACUAAUCAGAGAAGGGCUGUAUGGACUGUGCAUGUUAUACAUGCCUGAGUGUUGAUGGAGCUUUAUGAGCACCACAGAGGCAGUGCUCAGCUGGGUGGACCAGGAGCCAUCUAAGAACAAAUAAGGUAGCUGGGGCAAAUGGAAAUAAAGAAGUUUCUCACAUUUAACCAACCUAAGUUAACUCCUAGCAACAAAACUGUUGGUGAAAAUAUUACAACAGCAAGUUUCAGGUUGACUUGCUAAAGACAUCUCUUGCAAACAAGGGAGUUACAGAAGUCAUUAAAUGUAUCUCCACACAUUGGUGUUCAAACAGAAUGGGCGGGGCAGUUAUGAGAGAUUGUGCCCCUGCAAAGAAUCUCACCAAAAUAAGAUUUUAGCCUGACAAUAUGGACAGGAGUGUUGUCCUUAUUCCUUACUCCUGUACAGCAAGCCAUGUGCCUCCUCUUUCAGGUGAGAGACAGGUAUCCAGAAGGAGACCUCACUGCGAGAAAAAGAUGGGAGGUGUUUGCUGUCAUUGAUUUGUCUGGCUACCAAGCUCAGUUAUUACCACUGGGUCCCAAAGCAAGGAGUGAAUGCAUGCUUUUCCAUGGUUUAAUGGUCUUCGUGCCAAAUCUCUCCAGUGAUGCACUAUUAAAAGUGCAAGUCACGAAGCAAUCAGAGCAGGGACCACAGCAUGUACUAGAACUGUGACAGUUCACACUUCAUAAUUAAACUGGCAGAAAGAUUAAGUAAAGGCUUCUUUUAUAAAAUGAAAAUUAAGAGUAGAGAAUGGUAAGAGGUAAUCUGCCUUUUACUAGAAAUAAGAUCUGAAACAUGAAUUCUUGUGUUUGUACUGGAUAAGAUCCUAUGGAUAGAAAUAAGAUGAUUUACAUUUAUUAUAUACCAUGGCAUGCAAUGAUUUUCUAAAAAUGAUGUGUGUGCAUAUAUAUUAUCUUAAAAUGCUUACUGCUUGUGAGGAUAUAGAAAAUAAACUGUUUGUUCUCAAGAUAAGUUUAAAGUAUUAAUUAUUUUGAAUGUUUAAUUAAAUUGGUACUUCCAAAUAAUUUGACUUAGAAAAUUAGGAGUUUGUAGAACAACCAACAAUUCUCUUUGGGCUUUGUUUUAAGUAGUUGUGCAUGCUUAAAUGAGACUAAGAUUUUCACUUAAAUUGUUAAAACUAUGUAUGUUUGGAAUGAUAACUAAUUCCUAAUAGCACUUAUAAAUCAUAGUAUUUCCAUUCCUGAUCCAAAAGACAAUAAAGAAGUCACAGAGACAAAAUAUUGUCUAUCUCUGUAGAUAUAUGCCAUAAUAUAGAAAGAGAGAAAAUGUUUCUUCCCCUAAUACUUGUAGUUUUCAUGCUUUGCUUUUCUAACUCAGUGUGCUUCAGAUCAGGACCUUGGUAUCUCACUGUGGAACAGCUCCAUGAAGAGAAACUGUGAGCAAUGCUUUCUAGGCUAGCUGAGAGUCUGUAGGGCAGAACACUCAUUUGGAUAAUGAGAUAGCAUCAUCAGGUCUUAAAUAGAACCACAUUCCUUGCUAUUAAGUUGUUGUGGUCUGUUUGGUGUUUUCCUGAAGGUAUUAAAUCUUUUCAUCCACAGGAACUAGUGUGAUCUUGAUGAUAUGAUAAAUUUGACAGUAUUUCCAGAUUUAUUAAAAAACCCCUCCAAACUAACUGGAUUAACUCUAGGGUAGUUUAGAAAUAUAUCACACAUUGCCAUCAUACAUAAAUUUGAUUGACAGUACCUAUAUAUGUAUCAUUUGUUCACCAUCAUAAUUCUGUUAUCUAGUUAAAAAUUAUGCUUCUCAAAGUAUGAAAUAGGUUUAAAAAGAAUGCUAAAAUGGAAAAAAAAGUUAAGUUCUUUUAGUCUGUAUACUGUUGUUCUUGACCAUGCAACUGUAUCACAUUUUUAGCUUUUAUACAGAUGAUAGCUUGAAAUGUACUUGAUUUUUGUUAAUGAAAGGUGGGAUUUUCUUCUAUUCCUUCGUCUGAAGGAAUUGUGGCUCUAACAUAGCAUGAUGACUCAGAAUAUUGAGACAGUGAUAUUGCUUAGAGUGGUAAAAAAUGAUGCAUAGAGAUCUCUUUAUGUUACACUGUCAUGUCAUUGGAAAAUUCUUCAGUGACAGAUUCAAACAAGUAUUUCUUAACAAGAGCCAGUUUUUAUAUUUUUGAAAAUAUUUGUUUUAGGCAGAAAUUGAAGUUUUGACUGUAUUGCAAAUUUUGGUAUCACCACUUCAAUGUAGAUAAAUAUAAGUGAUACCCAUGAAAAAAGCAAUCUUAACUCUCCUUGUAGUGUGAUCAGCUCUGAAUUGAAUGUUACCACUUAGGAAUGAGAUCUCGGAAUUUUAAUGAAUAGUUUUUAUGAAACCACCAAUUUAAUGCUCAGCAGCAAUAAAAAUGUAAAUUGAAUGUUAGGAAUUAUUAGAAAAGAAAUACAGAACAAAAGAAACUGCAUAAAUCCCUACAGAGCUCAUGUCCCCUCUUCUUAAAAAACAUGUAGUGGAGAACUGGAAAAAGCUUAGAGAAAGGAAACGAGAGAAGCAUGGAAAUGCCUUCACAUGAAGAGUGACUUAGAGGUCUUCUAAGUUUGGAAGAAAAUAAUAUGGAGACUCCUUGCCUCUUUCCAUCAAGAUCUAGAUGUCUAUGAGCCCAGCAUGUAUGCAGUUCAAAGCUACUUUAUGUUUUUCCUUAUGCGGUGCGUACUUACGUGUGCAAUUUAUCCGUGUGUGUUAUGUGUACUGUGAGCUAGCAGAGGCAAAAAAACCUACACAAAAAAAUCCAUGGAAGUUCCCAUUGUGAAAAACUAAACACAAAGACAUUAGUGACGGCACAGGAGAUACCAAACACAUCUUCAGGGAAAGCCAUCACUGUGUGUUUUCAUACCCUUUCCGAGGCAUCUGCUGUUGAUUACUGUCCUGGGCCAGGUAGACUCUGGUCUGAGUAGGACCAUCCCUAUGAUGUGUAGCAGCAUCAGAAGAAUUUAUCAGUGGAGGAGCUGGGCUGAUUACGUAGUUUUACUGAGAGCAGAUGGUACUUGUGAAUCUGAAGGGUUUGUGGCUGUAGGAUAAGCUUAUGUGUUCAGAUGUCAGUGCUUGAUGCAAACUAAAUCUAAAGAAUGAUGAACACAGGAUGAAAAGAAGAAUCUAUGCUUCUCAGGACUAUUGCUGCAGGCUGGCUGAACAGAAAACAGACUGGGAGCAUGGGCAAGAAAAUGACAUGAAUAAACCUCUCUGAAACAGAUAACUGCUGGCUUCAAACUCUCUUGUAGCCUGUGGUGAGUGGAUGUGGUUUUAACUCCCUGCUCCUAACUUGAUAAUCAUGGGCUUUGAAAGAGUGCAUGAAGACUAAUGUCUACGCCACCGUGACUUGCUAUGAAAUCUACCUUUUCCUUGCCAUCUGAUAAGGCUGAUGCAGAUUAAUGCUUGUUUCUCACACAUCCUCUUUAGGUGGGUGAGAAAGGCCAAGAGCAUGGAACACAGCCAUACAGCAGAGCCUCAAGGCCAGUUAACAUGCCCAAACAUGCUAUUUAUCAGUGUAGGUAUAACCAGAGUGCCUUUUAAGUGUCUUUUCAGCCCCUUUUACCCAGCUGACAAGAGUGGGGAAAAGUGUAAGUACAGACUCUCUUAUUUUGCAGAAAAGCAAUAACUGUGAUUCUGGUUUAUAUUAGAGCAGCUUGAAAAACUGCCCUGCCCUGGCAGCCCUCUAGACUUUAUGUCCAAACUUAGAUCACAUGUGUUCAAGCUUAUAUCACAUAUAAAUACACAUACACUCACUUGAAUAAAACCCUGGCCUGCUGGGCACAAUUAUAUCAGCAUUUGCCUAAGUUCAACAUUUAUGUUGCUUAAGAAAGGCUAUCACUUAGUUUUUUGCUUUUUUUUCAAAUUUAAACAAAACCUUGAAAUUCCAAAAUUUACUGAGAAAUAACAUUUUGGAAUUGCUUUACUUGAAGUCAUCAAAAGAGCUCUUUAUCAAAGACUUUGAUGGAAUCAAAUCAGUUUGUUUUGCCUUUAUUAUUUCUACUUUCAAGUGAUAACACAUUUGAAACAUAGUGAUUUAAGUGAUGAAGUCCAACUGAAAUUAUGUAACCUUUUAGAAGUAAAACCAAAUAAUUUUCUUUAAUUUUUUUGAUGAACUCAAUACAUUUCUACAGAUCAUUGAGUCAGCACUUACUAAUGAAAAGCAGUUCUUCUGGAACUGCUUCAAACAGUCCUUGCAGGAUAUAAGACUUUUAAAAUUCCAGACUGUAGAUAAAAGCCCUCUUCAAAAAAAAAAAAAAAAAAAAGAAAAAAAAGCCUUUUACUCUAAAAAGCAAAAUUACUCAAACUAAACAAAUGUUUAUGUUUUCUGCCUGCUUGUCACACAUGAGUGCCUGUGAAUAUAGUCUAACACAUUUGACAGGUCUGCUGGUCUGAUUUAGUACUUAAUUCUGCUUUUUUUUAUCCUCCAAAUUUUUGCACAAUAUCUGCUUUCAUCCUUGCUUAUUAAUAUUGGCUAGAGUCUGUGUUAUAUUCCAUCCCAAACAGCAAUGCUCAUAGGAGCAUUUUGAAGUCAAAAUAAUAUUCCAGCAUCAAUUUUAUACUCUACUGUCCUAUAAAAACUCUUUCAUCUUUGUCUUUAAAUGCUAUUUUGAAAACCACAGAUACUUAGGCUUCAUACCUUGCUCACCAAAGGAACAAAGACUGAACACUGUUUGGCUCCAAGUGUCAAUCAGGACAUAACAAGUUAAACAGCAGUCAACACAUUGGCAGAUGAGUAACACCGAGUGGUUACUAAGCAGUGCUGAAUGCUGUUUGUCCUAGUCUACCUCAGCAGCUUAAUGUGUUUACUUAUUCAUCUGCAUCUGUUAGGGUGUAGCCAAUGUCAGUAAUGGGUAAUUUUCCCAGUAGAGGCAAGGUUUUGGGGCUCAUCUUACAAAACCAUUCAGACCUGGAGGAUAUUAAACUGUGAUUAAGCUAAUUGAUUUCAAUAGGUGCUAAUCAUGCAGGCUCUGGCAAUGCACAGUGAUGAAAAACUAGUGUGCCCUGUCCCUUGGACAACAAAUGUGUAUCAUACUUGCCCACUAUCAAGACGAGAUAUUUUUCUGUCACAAUUUGGGUAUGUGUUUGGUUUUUCUAUAGCUGUACCCCAUGCUGAGUGGAUUCACUUUAGCAGUCUCAAUUUUCUACUUGGGAAUAGCCUGUGGAUAAGUCAGGUUCUCAUCAGUGUAAGGAGAUGUUACAAUUUAACGCCUAAUACAGGAUCUGAUUAAGCAAAUGGAAAUGACCUAACAAGUUGUCCCACAUGUCUGCUUAAACACUUACUCCAGUGGUAGUAUUUACUGUGCCCUGACUGACAGAUCUGCGGAGGUAGCAGUUUGCUGGUUCAUGCUUGGGCUUUCAAUGAGGUGUGUCUGAACGCAGAGAAACUCCACUACUCCCAUCUUUGCGCCACCAGCAAGGAGUGGGUGAGCAAAGGAUGUGCAAAGCAGCACCAGAGAGCGACUGGUAAGGAACCAGGAAUCCCAGCAGCCUGUAAAGGAAGGGACUUAGGGAGUGGGGCAGGAUAGAAACCUAACCCACUUUCUCCAUGCACCUGCCAGUGCUCACCUGUUCCAUGUUCUCACCCUGGUGGUUUUUUUGUCUCUGAAAGACGUGAGCAUCCCCAGGACCAUCUUAUGUGCCUUCCUCCCUUCCCAUCUUCUGUGGAAACAAACCACUGGCAGCUUGUCAGCCCAGGUCCUGUGUCUUAUAUGUUGACUGUAACUUAUAUUUAAAUGGCUUAUCAUGAAAUGGGUCUUGCACCCGUGUAUGUGGGGGAAGAAGGUCCCCAGAGAUACUACAUCUUGGGAAAAUGAUCAAGAGCAUAAUGUAACAUUCCCUUGCAUUUAGAAUAGCCUUUAUUUCACCACAGCUUUCAUUUCAGUCUGUGCUGCCAGAUGAAGGAUGCAAUAAGCCUGAUUAAAUUUCCAUGAUUUAUAUAUAUUUGCAGCACAUUGAGUCCAUAAUUAAAACAAUGGGGGACAGAGGCCCCAGCUGUGAUGUGCAAACAGAGACCUUCACAUGUCAGACAAGAGAGGGAUGUGUGAGAGAAUACAAGUUAAGACUGAUACAGUAUUGAACACUGUACUGGGUGUCAGCCUGUGUAUAUUAAUAUCUUCUUACAACUUUUGGAGCCACAUCAGAGGAAAAGAUGAUUGGGGUGGGUUCUCCAGUAACUUAAAUUAGAUUAGUUUACUGAAUUACAGAUAUGUUAAACAAGAGUCAGUUGGGAGAAAGCUGAUUGAAAUAUAGGUACCUGUGGUGGAAGCUGGUAUCAUGAAUCCAGAAAAAGAGUGGGGCCGUGGUGAGGACCUGUAGGUACCUCCAUGGGAGACUGGAGGAGGAAUCAUGAAGAUCCUCUCACUGACCCACUUAGGGAAGAGGGAAGAGGAAAUGACCUAGCCAGGUAAACGAGGGCAGGAUUGCAUGACAAACAAGAAAGCUAAUUGUGCUGAAUGCAGCUGACUGAUCACAGAGGAUGGUGAAAUAGCAGUGCUCAGUUUUGUCUGGACACUGUUCUGGAGAGAGCAAUUUGAAAGGGAUGAGAGAAGGAAGCUCAUCUCCAUAUGACAGAUGUGUACCAGAUUGCAAGUCAAAUACAUGAGUAUCAGUAAGGUGAAUUUGUAUACAAUGCACUGUAACUUCAGGAUAAGCAAAAGAAAGAAUGGAGGAAUAUACAAGUUAAUGUAUGACUACUUUGUAAACUUGUUUGCAGAUUGUAUUGUUGUAGGUACCUCUCUGACUGAAGCAAAUGAAUCAAAACAGCAUUGAGUGACUCUGUCCAAGUCCCACAGUAACAGGCAUCUUAGUUUCUACCCCUGCUUGUCAUGGGUGGUCAUGGCUUUCAUGUCAGAAAUCCCUUACUCCUGGUGUCUGUUAGCCAUUUUUACAGUGAGACAGACGUGUGAUCUGUGAGACAGUGAGACAGACUAUUCCUUACAGAUAGCGAGAUCCACAAUAAAUGGAAAUAAAUGGAAAAAACAGACAGGGAUAUAAAAAUUAAGUAGGUUUAAGAUGAAUACUUCUUUGCAGCAGUUGAGGAGGAGCUCAGAGUGACCAGAUAGCAUCUGCUGAGAAAUAGGAGGAUUUUCUUUGGAUUUUAGGAAGGGGAAAAUCUGCAAAGCAAUGGUAAGCUGUUAUGCACCCCAGUUCACAAGACAGUGGGGAGAAAAUAGGCAUAGUGUUUUCUCUGACACAUGUUGGGAUACAAAUGGACAAGCAGUUUGGCCAUGAGGGUCUCCAUGGCUGCUGCCAAGCACAGCUGCUUGGUCGUCUUUUAGGGGUGAAUAACCCAAUUGCAUUCUGCAUGCCUGGCAGACUUCUCCCGAAGGGUUCAGGGCAGGUGUAUCCCUGCCCACUUCCAGGCUCAUGACACCAGGUGUGCUAUGCAGCCCCAAAGGUCGGUGGUGCAGUGAGUGGCAGUGUCAGGGGACCCACAGAAGGAAACAGGAAUCAAUCACAGUGUUGUAGCAAGGCAUGGGCCCUGCAAUACCUCCUGGGGCAUGGAUGCCUUUCAUGCUGAUGCAGCUCAGAUGUCCCCAGUGCAUCUGUGUUGACAGCAGCAUCCCAGAUCAGCCCAAUUGGGCUUUUCUGUUCUGGGGUAUUUCCCUUUUGUCCCAGGCAGGCUGGUGACAGAAGCUAGGAACACCUCUGCUAUUGGUGUCCUGUCUUCCUGGCCUGCCUCUGCCCCAGCCAGUGGCUGAGAACAGCUUUUAGGAUGCUGGCAGGCCAAGCACCUUUGUGUAGGGCUUUCAGAGGUGCUGCUGGAAACAAGAUGAUGCCAGGGAUGAAAGGGCAGCAGGGACCUCACCCCUGCCAUCUCCGUGCAGCCAGGCCAUGCAGCAGCUGAGGUGUUAGUGGGGACAAUGGCAGUGGCAGAGACAUCACGGCUGUUUCCCCCUCCUGUUGAGUAGAGCAUGGUAAGAGCAAUGAGUUCCCUCCCCACCUCUCUGCUGCGAGCAGCACAGGCACCCUUCCUGCAGCUCGGCGUUCCUUAUUCAUUACCAUCUCCUUACCUCCACACCUGUUUGAUAUUACAUAUUCAAUUUGGAAAUACUGUCCUUUUUGUCCCCUUUUACACCAUCUGUUGACACAAUCCCGUGUGUGUCUGGGUAAGAUCCAGCUGGCAGGAGGUGAACACAUUCACAUCUCCUGAAAUUGCUGAUUCAGGGAGGGGAGGCGGGGGACACGCACACGCUCCAGAGCCCCGCACCCCGAUAGCGCCGCAGCUGAGAAGCGCCAGUGCCCUGUGCGCUAGUGCCAGGCGUUAUCAAUGCACAGCCAUCCUUUCACCCCCGCCUGCCCUCCCCGCGCCCCCGACGUGCCUGUUGUAAUGGGGGAACAAUGGCAGAGCCAGAGUGCCCGGCACAAAGACAACAGCUGCACUCCCGGGUCGGCCUUUGCAGCCGCCCCGCACAAUGGCCAUGUGUAACCCCAUCCCGCUGCCCGCCUCGGAAUAAUUUAUUUAUAGAUGCAAUAUCUCUUUCACUGGCCUAUUUAAGAAUGUCUUCUCAUAAAUGCAUGGAAAUUGAAAUUAUUCUCUGCUUUUCCCCCGAAAGAUUAAGGUAUCUGUUCCAUUUAGAUAAAUAGUGCAAUUUUGGAGGGGAAGAGGGAAAAAAGCUGUUGGAAUAUAUGCAAUAAAGGAUGAGGAGAAGUUGAUUAAUUGUAACGUGUGCAUUUUUAAAAAUUAAAUAUAUCUCAUUAUUAGUGUCUCUGCAAUAAUAGGCACAUGUUUAACUAAAGGAAAAAAAAAUACUGAAGUCAGGAAAAAAAAAGCCCUCCUAGGCAAUGAAUACUAGUCUUUCCUCUACGAGAGAUGACUGGUUGCCUCUUUGGCAAUAAAACCUCUUUCACCCUCACAGACUGUAAGCAUGAGCAUCUGCUUAGGACAGAGAAUUUUCUACCAUCCAGGAGACAGUGAAUCAUCUCUCACAUGAAAAUAUGGUUAGUUCAGCACACUGCUUCCUUCUCUUAAAUACAGCAUGUGCAGCCUAUGUAUCAUCUAAAUGUGUAGUGUAACACAAGAUCAGAAAUGAGAACAGUCUCUGAGAUCUCUAAAAAGAACUAAAACCAGCAAAAAGUUUUAAUACCCUCAAUUUUUAAAAAUAAUAGCUCUUUAAUUCCUUUUUCCCCCCCUUUAUUUUCACUACAACUAAAUUUCAUUUUAUUUGUCUAAAUCCUGAUCUCUGAAUACAAACAAAUAGUAGCUUGGUGACAACACUUUCCUGUGUUAAAAGAGUUGCUUUAAGGAUCAGGAACCUGGAGUGCUUCAUUCAUCCACAUUUUGUGUGUGUGUGAACAUACCUGUGUAAGGAAAACAUGACAAGACAGUCUCCAAAUAGGAAAAAGUUCUGGCGCUGCUAAACACUCUCCAGACACUUCCAUUAGAUUUAAAAAAAAAACCUUAAAACUCCUCGUGAUAUGGAACACACUUUAUUGGUCGCUCUGGAAGGAAUUUUUAAAAUGAAAAACACCAUAUAUAACAUUAUCACAGUUUCUGUAUAAAGUGUACUGGAAAAAAAUGCAUGGCCUAUUUAUAUCAUCCUCUCUUCCAUCCCCUGCAGUCCACAGGAAAAGCCUCAUGACUGGCAGCUGUUUGACUGCCCUAUUAUCUGAGCCUGCGUCCAGUCUGGCUAAUUACAGUCACUGAUUACUAAACACUGAGCAGCACUGUCACCUGCCUUAGCCUGACAGGAUUAUACCAUCUGUGCCACAUGGCCAGGGUAUGGAAAGCUGGUGAAAGGUCACAAAAAGGGGCAAAUAACCCUUAAUGGGAGGUAAAUGUAUGUUUACAGACGUGACAGCUGACUGUCAUUAGAGUAUAUACACGUAUUCACAGCUGAAGAUACUUCUCAAGGAAGAAUAAGGGACAUACGAAGUGUGGCUUUGUCAGACAGUUGGGUUUUUUUCUGCCCCCAAAAUAGGUGUUAUUCACUGGGAAGAGACUAAAUACACUUCUGUCAGACACAUUGAUGUAACACCGGGACCAAAUGUUUUCCCUCCUCACCUCCCCAGACUGUUCCUGCCCAGCAGCAGCAGUUUGGAAAAGCUGAUUUAGUGAAGCUGGUGCAAGCCUUUGUGCUGGUGAACUGUCUGCUUUAAGGGAGCUCGUUGGUUCUACUUGGUUUGUGUCCACAGAGGCACCAAAAUUAAAUCCACUGGGUAAUGAAGACUGGGCUACUCUCAGGGAGCAGCGCAGGGGCUGUAAGCAGAGGGUCUCCCCUCUCCAAUACCCUGCUCCAGUGCAUGUCUUGCUUCUUCCCACCUGCAGUGAUUGCAUGGACAUUGCUCCUUCCUGCACCUCUUCUCUCACCAAUGCCUGCAUGCUUGUACCUGCCCUCCGCUCUGCCCAAGCCUUUCUUAUGGCUGCUGCUUUUCUUCCCCUGCACGCGAGAAAUUUCUUUUCCCAAGUACACGUGGCAAUGCAACCUUUUCACAGAAAUCUUCAUUCCUUGUUUAAUGUCUCCAUGAAUUUAGGUUAUGACUUUCCAAAGGGUAUUUUGCAACUUUUUCUAUGUAUCUGGGCUGAGCCCUCCUGGGGUCAGAGAGGCAUAGUGUUUAUUCACUACCUUUUUGGAUCAUUCCAACUCAAAUAUGAUCCCUCGUACACCUUGGAGGUUAUCUAAGUUAUCCGGAAAUCACCAUAAUUUGUUGGCUUGGAAAUUUUUUCUUGCUCACACCAGUCUCUGGAGCAUUUUGCAGGCAGUAUAUACCCAAGAGCAUCCAUAAAGUGGCCUAAAUCUGACAGUAUAUGCCUCUGGGUCUCCUCAGCUUGUCCAGGGCUAUUAUCUGUGCAGAGGAUGGUGACAUGAAGUCUGACAUGGGCUCAUGGUUGUCAGUCUUCUGUUAUCAGCUGCUCAGUGAGUUGCACCAUCACCUGCUAUGGCCACUUCCCCAGGUUUGGGUUGUGGUCUGCUGGGUAGGGAGCAUCCUCCACUUUGCUGUAUUCUGCUUGAAAUAUGCAGGUAUUUUAGCCAUGAAAACAAGCAAUCUGUGCAACUGGAAGUGAUUUAUUUCAGCUAAGUUGUGGUGUCACAUGCUUACUACCUUGCUUUUAUUCUCCUUGGAUUUCUUGCCUAGACAUUCUCUUUUGCUGUCAAAUUUGUAUUAUGUUUCUCCAGUUGUGUUCAAUUGGUCUGGUCAUUAUUUACCAGGUGUUUUAGUAUGUGAUUCUAAGAUAGAUGUUUGAUUGAAAAAAAUUACUACAAAUGGCCUUGCAUAAAUCAAUUCACACCUUAAAGAAAAACACAUGAAUGCCCAAAAGGUGCAUAUAUGUCAUAAUUGAAGCAGACUUACAUUUAAUGGAGUGUAAUCUUCUUAGAAAUCAAAAUAUAAUUUAUUUCAUGUCACACAGGUGACCAACAUUUAACAGCCACUGAGUACAGAAAUUUUUCAAAAGGUAUCAAAUCAGGGUGUCUAAUGCUCUGAGUUUUCAUAGCCAACCUGUGUGGUUUUCUAAUAUCUGCUCUGUUCUGGUUUUUUUUUUUUUUUUUUUUUGUUUGUUUGUUUUUUUUUCUGGUGAGCUCUUUAAAAUUGAUCUCAGGAGCAGAACACAUUCAAAAAGCAACUUUGUAUACACCUGUGUGUACACCAAUAUGUUCACUAGUCUGCCAGUGGAGUCAGACACUGACAUUUCAUGGGCAGUAUCACCAUCCAGACUGGGACUGGGAUACUGGAGCAGGGGCACGAAGUGAUGAUCCAGAGCACUUCUAGGAGGGUAGCAAGAUGAAAUUCAGUGGCACAAAAUACAUGCAUUCUUUCAACCAGUGCCGAGACUUUCUGUUGGGAAGUGAAAAGGAGCAUAAUUGGGAUGUGCUGGUAGACUUCAGUCAUUGGGGUGCUACUGAUGUGCUGUAGCUGUGGAAAUCCCAGGCUGAUUCUGAGACACACCAUUUCCAGGGCAGAUAGAGAAAUACUUUUAACUCAUUUGGUUACCAGCAUUUACCCUUUUGCCUCUUGCCCCUCCUGUGGGUGAAUACAGGCAGGUCUGGUGCUGCCCACAAGCCUGGUCAGCCAUGCCCAGAGCAGAUAAGUGCAAGCUGAAGCAGGUAUGGAAAGCAUUUCCUUGGAUGAACAAGGGACCUGGCUGCUUAAUUUGAGAGAGACAGCUUAGAGAGUGUAGCUCAUUUAGCUCCUCAAGACAAAUACCAAGAGAGAAAAAGAUGUGAUUGCUCACUCUAAAUUUAUCAGCAGAGGCAAAUGCCAGGGAGGGAGAGGAACUAUUUAAGGUGAAGGACAAUGUUGGCCUAAGAGCAAAUGAGUGCAAUCUGGCUAUGAAUAAAUUUAGGCUGAAAAUUAGAAAAGAGUUUCUAACUAUCAGAAGAGUGAGUUCUCAGCUUUUUAAUAGGAAUUCAAGAAACCCAAUUCUUAUUCAGUCCAAUUUGAUAAGAUUAUUAAAAAGCUGCCUGUGAUAGGAGGGAACCAGUCUAUGGCUUAGAAGGUCUCCUCCAUCUCUGAGCACUGAUGGAUACAGGUUGACUCGAUUGAAAUUAUAUUAAGAAUUUUCAAAAGUCAGAACUCCAAUUGUCAAAAGAGUGUUACAAAUUUUUGAUUCUUUGGACUGUAAUGUCUCCUCUGCAUUUCUCUGUCUUUUCUAUGCACCUGUGAAACAGAGGAUAAUUCCACCUCUCCUCCCCAUUUAAUCACAGAGCUGAAAAUACCCUCACUGUGGUAUUAUGAAAAUAUACUAUUUACUGUUUGUGUAGCACUCAGGAGUGCUGUGAGGAUGAGUAUCAAAGGAAAAAAAAGCUGUGCUGAAAUUAAUAAUUUUGGCUGCACAGCUAGGUUUGAAUUACAUCUAGUAAAUCAUGCCUAGGGCAACACACUGAGUGAGAAGAAAAUAAAAUAUUGAAUAGUUGCUCAUUAAGUGAACACUAGCUAUUCCGUGAACUGAAUGAGGCAGGGUCCCAUGGAAAAUACAGUAUGUGAUUUUGUAAUUUAAGAUUAGAAGAGGGCUGAAUUAAGGUUGCACAAGCCUUUCCUUAUGCCUUUCCAGCAUCAAGGAUCUGGACAACCAGGGGAUCAGGCCCAGCCAGUGUGUGUUAAUGAAAGGCAGGUCCUGCUGGACCAACCCGAUCUCCUUCUAUGACAAGGGGACCUACUUAGACACUGCAGUGCUGGAGAGAGUCCAGAGAAGGACAGUGGAGUGGGUGAAGGGUCUGCAGCACAAUUCCUAUGAGGAGCAGGUAGGGCAUCCGGGGUUUUUUAACCUUGGGAAAAGGAGGCUCAGGAUGGAACCUUAUUGCUCUCUACAACUACCUGAGAGGAAGCUGUAGGGAGGUGGGGGUUGAGCUCCUCUCAGGUAAAAAGUGAUAGGUCCUCAAGCUAAACAACAGGAGCAUCUGAUUAGAUAUUUGGGGAAAUGUCUUCACUGAAAGGGUUGUCAAGCAUUGGAACAGACUGCCCAGGGAAGUGGUGGAGUCACCAUCCCUGGAGGAAUUUGAAAGAGGUGCAGCUGUGGUGCCCAGGGACAUGGUUUAAUGAAGGACUUGGCAGUGCUGGGUUAACAGUUGGACUCGAGGAUUUUAGAGGUCCUUUUCAACCUCAACAACUCUGUGAUUCCAUGAAUAGCCACCCACCCUCCUAAUCUCGCCAGUCUGCAUGCAGGGAGAUGCUCUGGUGUGCACUGUGUGAAUGCCCCCCACAGUACUCUGCCCUUGUCACAGGCAGCUGGAGAAGAAUGAGAGGAUUGCACCAGCUCACCCACAAUCAGCUUCUCAGAGCCAGGGAGAGAAUAGUGUUCUGUCUCGUGAGGAAAUUGGAAAUUUAUUUCGUCCCAGCUUGGAACUCACCCUGUCUUUAGAAAUUCUGUGUAAAUGCAAGUUGUAGGAGUGAUUAAAAUCUUGACUGUUGAACCAAGAAGAUUGGGUAGCCCAGGCAAACUACCUUUGUUGUGAAUUUUGAAGUGUAGCUGACUUAGAAUAUGAAGCUCAGGCUUUGGGUGUCAUAUCAGGACUACCACACAGGCUGCCAAAGAGGAGCAGGUACAGUUCCAAGAACCCAUGUCCAUUUCAAACCUUGCACUUCCCUUGAAAGCAAGAGUUUGGAAAAAAGGUUGAAGAUAUCAGUGAGAAAGCAAACAUUCUAUCAUUAUUUUUCAAGCUGGUUACAGCACAAAACAUGGAAUAAUUGUCAACAGGCUGUCAUGGAUAAGGUGAGAUACGGCUAUGGCAGGAAGAGCUGCCACUCAAUAGGUGGCUGGCAGUAGCCCUUCCUUGGGCACACAAACACUCAUACCAGUGUGUGGCUUUAUUCUAGCUGGAGUGUCUGGUAGGCCACCAUCAAAUGCUGAAACAAAAUCUCUCUAUUUUUAAAAUAGCUUUGAUAUAAAAGUCAAACUAAUAACAUGUGUUGUGAGUUUGGGCCCCUCUGUUUCUUAGCACCUGACAUCUUCCUCAGCUGGGGACUGGUUCCCAGAGUGGGGCUGCUCACCUCUCCCUGGACCCUCUGCAGUUUCAAAGUGGGCACUAACAAAACAAGCAAAACCUCAGCCAGUUCUGAAAAUCAAAUUCCUCAAAAGUUAUCCAAGAAACAUGUAUUUCUCAGCCUUGGGAAACAGUAUUAUUUAUAGGCUCACCCAGAAUACUUGGUGGGAUAUUUUCUGUGUGAAUUGAUGCAAAGGAGUCUGGUGUGACUGUAUGUACUAUUCUAAGGCAGACACACCCCAUAUUUAAAAUAUUCCUGGUUUACUAUAGUCAACAAUAUUUUCAUGUUUGUUUGUCAUAGCAUGCAUGUCUGUAAUUAUGUGCUGAUGGCACAUUCUUACUAACUGAAAAUAUUAUCAAAAAAUACAGAGCUAUCUCUAGAUGCAGACCUUGUUUGUGACAGCAAUGUUUGCUAUUGAAUCACAAGGCACAGAAAGCAGUGAUUUGCACAAGAACAUCUAAUGCAUAAGAAGUGUGCUGAACACUACUUCUGCACAGGAAGAGGGAAGGAAGAAAAACAUAUUCAUCUCAGUAGUGGUUAAACGAUAGUGCAAGCCAGUAAUUACAUGCAAAUUAUGACCUUGUGCCCUUCAGUCAGCUCCUCAGUAAACAUGACUGCUUUUAAUUUCCAUUCCUUCAGCAAUAAAAUUCACUGUUUUCAGACUAAGUUCAAUUCUUUUCUUCGGCUUUUCAAUGAAAAUAUGUGGUUUUAUACUUCAAAACUUUAAACAAUGCUGGGCUUUUUAAUAUUUAAGGGAUCAUAAUUGAAAUAUAAAACUGGUGCUAAAAUAUUAGCUUUUAUGAAUUUCACUCUUUUCCUUUAAGCUUUUCUAUCAUUAAAAGGCAUUACUUACAAGUUUAAAAUUUAGAGACACUUAAACAUACAUGUUUUUCAUUUUCUUUUUACACUCUGUAAUGUUUCUAAAGCUGAAGAAAUGUCAAAAAGUUGUAUAAAAUAAUGUGAUGAAAGAAAUGGAUGCUUUUCAUGUAAUGUACAUAUAAAUUUAAAAAAAUACAGACAUACAGAAAGAGCGUGGGAGAAAAAUGUGAAUGAAGCAGACAAAAUUACUUUAAAAAAAUACAUGUUAAGAGUACAUUUUAAAAAGUAAUGGAGAAUCUCACUGAACUGGAAGUGACUUAAUUAAUGGAACUUAUUUCCAUUUUUUAUAUUUCUAAUUUUUCUAUUUCUUUAAACAAUAAGAGGCAAAUAAGAACUGAACUCCAGAGCUUACAUAUUACCAUGAAUUUCAGUGUGACAAACUGUAGCUACACACAAUUAUGUGCUAUCAGUUGCUGAAGUGGAAUUCAUUAUUUCCUACCUUAAGCUAUCCUAUAAAUUUGCUCUGCACUGUUAAGCAGAUAUCAAGUUCUGCCUAGAGAUAGAAACACUGCUGAUGAGCAAAGGAGAUCUUAAUAGAUAGUUUGUUGAUGCUUCUAUUAAACUCAAGAAACAUUUUGAAGAAAAGACAGAAAUCAUUCUUCCAUGAACAGUCACGUUGCAUUUCCCAGCAUUUCCCCUCUAAUGUUCCUGCAAAGCACAGAGAGUCAUGGUUUCAUUCCCCUGGCACGGGUUAAGGCAGAGCAUAUUUUGGUGCAGAAUUGCCUAGAGCUGAUCUCCUGGCACUGGACAAGCCUAGGAGUCAUCACGAUGCCUCUUGGGUAACCCAGGUGCUGCGGUGGCUUUACCUCAAUCACACACUCCUGAGGUUUCUAGUGGCACGUCCACUGAUGGCUGGAGAAGUGUCUGCCUGAUCCACUGUGCUAAUUCUUCCCAGGAAACUUCUCUGGGGGCUUGGCAGGUGCCAUGGCAGCACAAGGAUGUGCAGAGGAUGCACUGACACAUUCCCAUGGAGCUACUCCCUAUCCACGCCAUUGAUGACUGCAGCACCUACUCCUGCUUUGGCCUGGAAGAAAGAGGAUCUGCCCAAGGGUGAAUGGCUGUCUGGCUGCUGUUGAGAACUGAAGUCCUUGUUCUGGGAAGAUACUUUUGACAUCCUUCUCAUCCGUUCUUCACUGAAAUUAUGCUCCCUCUCAUUUUAUCCCAUUGAUGUUUCUUUUUCCUUUAAAAAAUAGUUAUUUAUCUGUACCUUUAUCUGCAUAGUCCUUUAUUGAGGAACAGUUACUCUCUAUUACACAAUAUUCUUCUAAUAUUUCUGUCAUUGUCCUUAAAAUGUCUGAGGUUUUUUCAUUUCAAUAUUAAAUGGCACUGAGCUAUUACUUAGCCCCAGAGAAAACUCACUAGAAACAUUGCUGUCUCUCUGUUUCUGUAUAAAUUUUGAAACUAUCAAAGAACUAAUUUCCUUUUUCACUUAAUCAUGUGAACCUGGGUUUGAUUUCCCUCUUUCUUCUGAUGUGACUCAAUGCUGAAUAUCUUAGAGCAAUCCAGGAUCUUUUUUUUUUCAAUGGUGGAGGCUUUAUCAACAAAACUUCUAAUUUUUGAAAGUUAUUGUUUGCUACUAUAUUCUUUCCAUAAACCUGUUUGUUAUUACCUCUACUAUCAGCCUUAAACUCAGGCCUUUUAUCUGCUGUUUUGUGGUGCUCCUGGGGUUUCUACCAGAGCAGGAGGAUGGCCCAUUUUUUCUUGCAGCAACUGGGGUAGCAUCAGUUCUCUGCCAGGUAGCUGCAACUUAAUGACUCCUGUACUGGAAACCAAUAUUGAAGGUCUGAUGACCUUCUCCACCAGCUUUUAACAUUUUGAGACUACAAGUUAGCUGGACCAGUUAAUUUCCAUAUGUUUAACCUUUUGUACCUUGAUCUCACUUCUUGAGUAUUUCUGCCUCUGCUGCUAACCUUUCUACACUUCUUAACAGUUAACUGAUAUGUAUUUGUUGCUCUCAGCUUUCUGCACUUUCAAAUUAUUACUCAUAUUUAUAAGGUUUUUUUAUCUCUUUUUUUUAAGCAGGUUGACAUUUAAUCACCCUAUUUUGUUCAUUGUAUUAUUUAUUAUGUAUAUAUAUGUAAUAAAAUCUAUUUAUUAUGGUA